rnacentral:tmRNA from 1 species
AACUGACAAAUCAAACAAUAAUUUCGCAGUAGCUGCGUAAUAGCCACUGCAUCGCCUAACAGCAUCUCCUACGUGCUGUUAACGCGAUUCAACCCUAGUAGGAUAUGCUAAACACUGCCGCUUGAAGUCUGUUUAGAUGAACUAUAAUCAAGCUAGCAUCAUGUUGGUUGUUUAUUGCUUAGCAUGAUGCGAAAAUUAUCAAUAAACUACACACGUAGAAAGAUUUGUAUCAGGACCUCUGGACGCGGGUUCGAAUCCCGCCGUCUCCAUUA